GAUGAACGCUGGCGGCGUGCCUAAUACAUGCAAGUCGAGCGAACAGACGAGGAGCUUGCUCCUCUGACGUUAGCGGCGGACGGGUGAGUAACACGUGGAUAACCUACCUAUAAGACUGGGAUAACUUCGGGAAACCGGAGCUAAUACCGGAUAAUAUAUUGAACCGCAUGGUUCAAUAGUGAAAGACGGUUUUGCUGUCACUUAUAGAUGGAUCCGCGCCGCAUUAGCUAGUUGGUAAGGUAACGGCUUACCAAGGCAACGAUGCGUAGCCAACCUGAGAGGGUGAUCGGCCACACUGGAACUGAGACACGGUCCAGACUCCUACGGGAGGCAGCAGUAGGGAAUCUUCCGCAAUGGGCGAAAGCCUGACGGAGCAACGCCGCGUGAGUGAUGAAGGUCCUCGGAUCGUAAAACUCUGUUAUUAGGGAAGAACAAAUGUGUAAGUAACUAUGCACGUCUUGACGGUACCUAAUCAGAAAGCCACGGCUAACUACGUG
rnacentral:rRNA from 1 species